AAAUUGAAGAGUUUGAUCAUGGCUCAGAUUGAACGCUGGCGGCAGGCCUAACACAUGCAAGUCGAACGGUAACAGGAAACAGCUUGCUGUUUCGCUGACGAGUGGCGGACGGGUGAGUAAUGUCUGGGAAACUGCCUGAUGGAGGGGGAUAACUACUGGAAACGGUAGCUAAUACCGCAUAACGUCGCAAGACCAAAGAGGGGGACCUUAGGGCCUCUUGCCAUCGGAUGUGCCCAGAUGGGAUUAGCUAGUAGGUGGGGUAAAGGCUCACCUAGGCGACGAUCCCUAGCUGGUCUGAGAGGAUGACCAGCCACACUGGAACUGAGACACGGUCCAGACUCCUACGGGAGGCAGCAGUGGGGAAUAUUGCACAAUGGGCGCAAGCCUGAUGCAGCCAUGCCGCGUGUAUGAAGAAGGCCUUCGGGUUGUAAAGUACUUUCAGCGGGGAGGAAGGGAGUAAAGUUAAUACCUUUGCUCAUUGACGUUACCCGCAGAAGAAGCACCGGCUAACUCCGUGCCAGCAGCCGCGGUAAUACGGAGGGUGCAAGCGUUAAUCGGAAUUACUGGGCGUAAAGCGCACGCAGGCGGUUUGUUAAGUCAGAUGUGAAAUCCCCGGGCUCAACCUGGGAACUGCAUCUGAUACUGGCAAGCUUGAGUCUCGUAGAGGGGGGUAGAAUUC
rnacentral:rRNA from 1 species